UUUAGGAGUUGUUGGCUGUUACUGUUUUUGGAGGAACAAGGCGAGGAGGAAGCAGCACACUGAAAUGGAGAAAAGCAGUGAUGCCGAUGAUCUUCCGUUCAGGGUAAGGAAAAGCCCUGCGUUGAGCCCAGCAAGGGAUCAAUGGUUUGAUGAGAACAGGGGUGCUGAAGAUGAUCUUGACCUUCCGUUGUUUGAUCUUGAGAUGAUUUUCAACGCAACAGACAGAUUCGCAGCGCAUAAUAAGAUUGGGGAAGGUGGAUUCGGCCCUGUUUACAUGGUAAGAUAACAUAUAUUUUAGAACAUUCAAGACAACAUCCAAUAGAUUAUACGAUGGUAAUUUUUCAUAAACUGUAAUGUGUAAGACAAAUAAAAUUAUGAGCAGGGAAGACUUGAGGAUGGGCAAGAAGUAGCCGUGAAGAGGUUGUCCAAAAGAUCAGUACAGGGGGUUGUUGAAUUUAAGAACGAGGUCAAACUAAUUGCCAAGCUUCAGCACAGAAACCUUGUCAGGCUACUAGGUUGCUGCAUUGAUGAUGACGAGAGGAUACUGUUAUACGAGCACAUGCACAACAAGAGCCUAGACACGUUCAUAUUUGGUCAGUUCAUUUCUACAUAAACAUUACAUAAUUAUUUUUCUCAAUUAAAUGUAUACACAUAGUGUUUUGUUGUACUAAACAUAUUUCUGCAGACGAAGGAAAUCGUAAACUGCUAAGUUGGAACAAACGGUUUGAGAUCAUUCUAGGGAUUGCACGGGGCCUAUUAUAUCUCCAUGAAGAUUCAAGGUUUAGGAUCAUCCACAGGGAUCUGAAGGCAAGCAACGUGUUAUUAGACAGAAACAUGGUACCAAAAGUCUCAGACUUCGGCAUCGCGAGAAUGUUUGAAGGUGAUCAAACCACUGCAUACACUAGAAAGGUCAUCGGAACGUAGUGAGUACUCUCGUAGUUUGUUUAUAUGUAUAUAGCUACAAAACUGGGACUGCACAAUGACUUUCGAGAUGGUCCAGUGGCUAUAUGUCUCCAGAGUAUGCAAUGGACGGUGUGUUUUCCAUGAAAUCCGACGUCUUCAGCUUUGGCGUCCUAGUACUGGAGAUUGUCGCCGGCAGGAGGAAUCGAGGCUUUUGUGAAUCCGAAAUUAAUCUCAACCUCCUCAGAUAUGUAAGUGCAAAUUAUUUGUCACAAUUGCUCUGGUGAAUCUUGUCACAUUAUUGCCUUAUUGGCAUUUUGAUGAUUUUCCAGGCAUGGAUGUUGUGGAAAGAAGGUAAGAGUGUGGACUUACUGGAUGAGUUAAUUGGAGACAUCUUUGAUGACAACGAAGUGUUGAGAUGUGUACACGUCGCUCUGUUGUGCGUUGAAGUGGAACCCAAGAACAGACCAUUGAUGUCUUCAGUUGUUAUGAUGCUAGCCAGUGAGAAUGCCACGUUGCCACAGCCAAAUGAGCCUGGAGUGAACAUUGGGAAGAUCACAUUAGACACAGAAUCAUCUCAUGGACUUACCAGCAAUGGUGUGACGACAACUACAAUAGAGGCUAGGUAGUCUGAAACAGUAAAUUCUCCUUGCUCUAACAGUAAGUCUGUAGUUCUGUAUAGCGAGUCAAAACCUCAUGCAAAGCUCUGCUGAAACUAGUUCACUUAUAACGAGUCUUGAAAACUUGUAAGUUGUAAGACCACAUUAGACAAGGUCAUGAUUGUUGCAAUGCACUAGUUGUAGGUUAGAGACAUUGUCUGGCGUGUGAUGGAGCCGACAAAACUGGUUAAAUGAUUUGUGUAAAAGGCUAACAGUAUUUAAGCAUCAUUUCUUAUCGACCGGCCCUCGAUUUGGUCAUGUCCCGAUGUGAUGCGGCAUCUAGGAAUGACAUAGACCACAUCUUGCCUGAUUUUCCUACAUGUGACACUAAAAAUACCAGCCAAUUUGGUCAAUUCAGGCAACUUGCUGCAAUAUUAGUUGUGAUGUCGGAUUCAUGUGGAAUCCUCCGUUUCAGAUAUCUAUUUCAAGUACAACAGCUAAAUCAUCACCAUCAAACAGACUCUGAAAUGAACAUAGAUGGGAUAAUUUCGACUCAAUUGUGAUUUUUCUUGCCAGGCUGGUUGUUGGAAGAACCCCAGCAAAGUUUUUAUCAAGUUAAAAGAGGGAUACAAAGGGCAAACUGGUAGAAAUGCUGUCAGCAUGAAGGUUCUUCUACUAAAAAAAACGAAGGACUGGAUGUUUAAAUGAGUCCGUGAGAAUGAGACUGUAAGCAAAUAUAAUCAACUAUAAUCUUCAAACAGUUUUUAUCAGGUGAAUUAGUGAACGACGAAGACACCUACCGUAUUUCACUUUCUUGCCCCUGCUGCAACUGAUACUGCAACCUUAUUCGUCACGCCAAUUUGACAAAAUGCAGUUAUGAUUUCUGAAGACGAGACAUGGAAGAAACAAUCUGUUAAUGGUUUCUUACCAGCCAUCCGAUAGCCGUGUCACAACUCACAAACAAUUCACCAUAAAUCUUCAAAUUCGUUUCUUACCAGCCAUCCGAUAGCCGCAUUGCUGUUUCAGGCGAUCACGCGCCCAACCAAACCCCCACACCCCCACGACCGAGGUUUCCAUAGGUUGAUCCGCCUCCCCGACACCGCCGCCCGGCAGCCGCAUCUGACCGCCCGACCGGCUCGGCCGCGAUUUCGUCGGCCGCCGCCGCGCCCAAAUUAUAGGGUUCAUGAGCCGCCGGCCCGCCGCCGUAAGUUCUCGCGGAACGAGUCCCGUCUCUAACCGUACUUCAGUCGCUUGUCUCUUGAGUUAUCUGAGAUGGGACAUGGGCUAAUGGGCCUAACACAAUGGCGCGUCGGCCCAUAUCCAAGAGUUGGCCCAGGCGCUGCAGCUCUGCA
rnacentral:lncRNA from 1 species